CCUUGAACCAGGAAGCAGGCUCUCACUAGACAUUGAAUCUGUCAGUGCCUUGAUCCUGGACUUCCCAGCUUCCCAAACUGAGAAUGUACACCUGGGAAGAAGAUAUGGUUGGGGUUUACUGUCUAGUGAAGGAAACAGACAUUACAGAGUGGAGCAUCUGAGCAUGAAUAAAACAGCACCUGCAUCAUCCCUUCAUCUGAGAAACACAGAGGAAAGACUCCAAGCAAACUCAACAAGGAGAAGCUUCAAGACAGAGAAAGAUAAAACAGUGGUAAAUAGAAAAACCGUGCCUGGGGGUGAUAAGCAUUUGCAAAAAAGCUUAUCAGAAGAGACUGAAAAGCCAGGCAAAAUCUGGACAAGGGUAGAAGACAAGAGAUGGAUACCAUAGUCUUUUUCUUUUCUUCUCUUUUCUCUCU